GAAGACUACCGAAAGUAAUCUGAGCCUGAUGUAUCAAUUUCUUCCCCCAAAACAAGCAGUGUCUACCAUGUUGCCUGAGACCAGCAAGACCUCCGAAAAAAUGAGGCACUGAAUUUGACUGGUGAGAGUAGGUGCAAGUCCCAGAGAAGCCACCUCAGCAGCUACAACAUACAUCUCAUCUGAGCUGAGGGACAAAAAUGAUACAAGACUCAAGUAGCACAGCUGAUGGGAGCAGUAGGUAACUCUUACACUGCAGACUGCAGACCAUCCCCUAGCUAAAAAUUAACAAAGGUCUCUCAUCUGCAUGAGUAUAAAAAUACUCAUCACCCUAGCCUGAGUCAAUACUCACCUUUCAGACUGCCAUGGUGUGUGCCCUGUAGCUAUUCCUCUCCAUGUGACUGGCUGCAUGAAUCCCAUGGGAUUCAGGAAAAUUGGAAUGAAUUGAACAAUCUCUUAAUGGGGGAGAGAAGGAAGGAAGCAGGGAGGCAUUCCCAUUAAAGGACUGUCUACAUCUGGUAAAUCAAUCAAAACGCAAAGGGAUCCAGUAGAUGCUUCCAGUCACCUUUAAUUGUGCCUCAAGUCCAACUGUCUCUAUGGGUCACUACCUUCUGGAGGUACCCACUGGUAUAACCAAGAAAUCAGGAUAUAAAUUUGCCUACUGGCAGAAACCCCAAGCCCUGGUAAAAGCACGUACCUAAGGUUACUAGGCCUGCUUUGGAUGGGAAAGGUUUUAAUAUGAAUUCAAACCGAAUUGCUCAGUGAAAUGUACCUGCAGCUCUGCACAAACAAAUCAAGCUCUCCCCACCCCUUUCUGUUUUCAGGGUGAUGGGCAGCAGAGCUUCUACUGGUUUCACAAGAGGCUACAAGCACUUGGCACCUCUGACAACCAUCAGGCUUCCUAAGAGGUGAGAGUGAGAUUUAAUACAGGGAUUGCUAGAGUGGAGUUAGCAAAGUCUGUAUGGCUUGUAAAGGGACUCCUGUUUCUGAUGUUCUCUUCAUCACUUGGAAUGAAUGGAUGGCCAUUUGUUUCAAAGCCCACAUGUGCCCAACUCCAUCCAUGGACAAAUUCUUGUGAACCUCUGUAUUAGAACAGCUAAUGCUGUGUUUUCUUAGAAGUUUAACUAGUCUCUUGGGGAUUGCUUGGAAGGAUCCCUGAGGACUUCUAAUAGAUGAGUGUCCUGCAUGAGUGAAAGUGCUAGCCCUUGAAGCAACAUCAAGCAAAUGGGGCAUGUAUUGAAGUGUCUGUCAUAGUUGAAGAGUAAGAGUUGAGCUUGCUACUUACAUAGUAUGAUGAUAAAUAGUAAGAAUCAUAAUAAGGUGA